AGUAAAGUCAUAAAUGCACCUCA
rnacentral:miRNA from 1 species